CGCGGGAUGGUGUAACGGAAACACACCGGCCUCAUAAGCCGGACGAUGCGAGUUCGACUCUCGUUCCCGCAA
rnacentral:tRNA from 1 species